rnacentral:rRNA from 1 species
CGUGGUUAGCCACGCCCCCCCAUUUUGGUGACUUUUGAUAACCUCGGGCCGAUCGCACAUCCCCGUGACGGCGACGACACAUUCGGAUGUCUGCCCUAUUAACUUUCAAUGGUACUUUCUGCGCCUACCAUGGUGACCACGGGUAACGGGGAAUCAGGGUUCGAUUCCAGAAAGGGAGCCUGAGAAACGGCUACCACAUCCAAGGAAGGCAGCAGGCAUGCAAAUUACACACUCUCGACGUGGGGAGGUAGUGACG